GGGCAGUGACCUGCCUGUGUCCCUGAGCACUCACCGGUGUCUCACGGGCUGCCGCUGAAAAGACAAUUCCAGUGUUCCUCUGGCAUUUCCCAAACCAUCCCUGCCCUGGCUGUGCUUCCAGCUCCUUCAUCCCAUUAAAUUUUACCGGUGUCCUCUGCUGUGCAUGGAUUUGGGGCUCUGUGCCAGUUCCCUGGCAGUGCAGGGAGCUGCUGGUCCCUGAGCUGUCCCACGGGAAUGUGCCCGCCUGGCCCUCGCUGGCCCGGGGUGGGAUGGCUGGUGAUCCAGAGGAGGAUGGCUGGUGAUCCAGGGUGGGAUGGCUGGUGAUCCAGGUGGGAUGGCUGGUGAUCCAGAGGAGGAUGGCUGGUGAUCCAGAGGAGGAUGGCUGGUGAUCCAGGUGGGAUGGCUGGUGAUCCAGAGGAGGAUGGCUGGUGAUCCAGGUGGGAUGGCUGGUGAUCCAGAGGAGGAUGGCUGGUGAUCCAGGUGGGAUGGCUGGUGAUCCAGGUGGGAUGGCUGGUGAUCCAGAGGAGGAUGGCUGGUGAUCCAGGUGGGCUGGGUGGUGACCCCAGACAUGGAGGUGGCCCCAGGCUGGCACUGGCCAGUGCAGGAUAGUGGGUGGUGGCUCGGGAGUUCACACCUCUGUCAGUGCCUUAGUUCCAUUUCAUGGAUCAACACUUUGCUUGGGCUACUUUUCUCCUGUUCAGACAAUAAAUUCUCUUAGGCCCGUCCCUGGUUUGAACAGGCUCCUGGUGCAGGCUGGUGGAGCAGCUCUGCGGGUGUGCAGAGGGCACUGAUGGGGAGGAAAUCCUUGGGAUAAUGGGCUUGGUGUAAUAAUCACUGCAAGUACCCCCCUCUUGGAAUAGGGUAAAGCCUUGGAAGCUGCAGCUGGUUGUGGGAUGAUGUGUUUUAGAAGGGGAGAUCCUGCAGCCUGUGUAGCUGCUGGCAUGGGAUCAGCCUGUCCCACUGCUGAGGCUCCUUCCUGCAGGACAACAGCCCCACCUUCACACUGGAUUUAUGAACAAAGGGAUGUCACAAUGUGGGUUAAACCGUUAGACUUGGGUUCCCAGGGAAUUCAUCCAAGAGCACUGCAGGGAAUGCUGGCAUCCCAAAUCCAAAAUAAAUGAUUCUAAAGCCUGACGUCAGAGUUUGGGUUUUGGCAGAGAAAGGAACCUCAGUGAGGAAAGAGAUUCAGGUUUCAGUCUCCCUGUUCAGGAAGCAGAACUGGAAUUACAGCCUGACCAACACUUCUCUUCCCAACCCCAGACCCCACGGACGGGUUGUGGCACUGGAAGUGCCAGCACAGCUCUGGGAGUUCAGGUUUUGAGCCAGGUGGGCAUCAAGGGAAGGAAUUUGGUGUGGAAUGUCACUGUCCCUCCCUAAGUCCCCAGGAAAGAAGAGGUUCUGAGCAGUUGCACUGGUUGGGGAGCUGUGUCUUUGUUCUGGUUGUAUGAAACAGCUGCUGGGGUGGUGAUUCCAGGUCAGGUCGUUGCAGCCCGAGGGAUCCUCAGGUCCUCACCCCCGGGGGGUGUUGCUGCUCCAGGGGCAGCUCCAGGGGCAGCCAAGCCCAUCCUGGGGCGGGAGGGUGGGUUGGAAGCGGGUUUGGGGCCUCUCUCCUGGGGAAGCUCAGUGUGAGGGUUCAGGUGAGGCCGGGAGGGUUUGGAGAACGGGAGCGGGAUGGGGUUUCCCUCUGCAGGGACUCAGGUUUGGCUCAGGAAUAGCCUCACCAGGGAAGGAUCCCUUGGGAGCUGAGCUCGGGCUCAGCUGGGAGAAGGGGGCUCAGCUGGGCCCUGGGGUCAGCGCUGGAGGGGCUCAGCUCUGAACUCUGGGAUCCCCCGGCAGGAAUGUGGGUGGCUCUGGGAAUGUG